CCGAGGUAAUGGCACUGCACAUGGGUUGAGGGCAUGUCGGCGGCAACAACAUCGUGUCUCAAAUACCAGCGUGCUCGCUUCAGCGUCGCGCCUGGAACUGCCAUCUGUUCAUCGUCCAGAAACAUGGAAUAUCAUUACACCAUAACUCAGAGCAAUAAUGAUAU